AUGAGUCGAUCAGGCGGUGGAGGUCCAGGGAGGGGACCACUAGGUGUGGUGAUUGUGUAUGCAUUUGACCGCAGCACCUCGACCGUGGCUUGGGAUAAGGUGGACAAUGAGAUCUUUUGGAUGGUGCAAGAGAAACUCACCCAUUUCACGGAUACCUGGCUUGGCUACACAUAUAUUGCGUCGAGCCCUAACAAGUACACAUCUGAUAUGAAAUUAGUUGAUUCUACCGAGAUAAAGGCAAAUGGGUAUAAAGAAAGCUCGGCAUGGAGGAGGAUUGCAGUCACGAAGGACAUGCCGUCUGCACUCUCCCAGGCACAUAAAAUGAUCAAUGAUCAAGGGGACUUGCAUGGCAUCAUCUUAUUCUUCUCCGAUGGGUUGAUUAACAAGGGUGCCUUCUUUGAUGGGGCUGAGGAAUUCAUCUCAAAAGUGCCUGUGCACACGUUUACUCUCAGCGGGGAUGCUUAUAACCAUGUUCUUCGUGCCAUUGCAGCAAAUUCCCCAGGUGGGACUUUCAGCCCUCUCCAAGUUCCGGACAAGCCGAGUCUAUCACUGCCCUUCUCGCAAGUGCUGGAUAGCAUCCUUAAUGGCACCAAGCAUCCUAGUACCAAUUCAGGGAGGCGGCCCCUGGAUGUGGUUCUUGUGUAUGCAUUUGACUGCACCACUACCCCAAGCCCGGCUUGGGACAAAAUGGAACAUGAGAUCUUUUGGUUGGUGCAGGAGAAGCUGAAGCACUUUGCAGAUAGUUGCCUCGGCUACACAUAUGUCAUGUCGACCCCUAACACAUGCACGUAUGAUAUGAAACAAGUUGACCUUGUAGAGACAAAGUUAACUGGCUAUGCAGGGAGCUCGGCUUGGAGAAAGAACCCAUGCACAAAGAAUAUGGCGUCUGGCCUCCCCAUGGCACAUAAACUGAUGAGCGAUCAUGGGCACCUGAAUGGUGUCAUCUUGCUCUUCUCUGACGGGUUGAUUAACAAGGGUGACUUCUUUGAUGGAGCUGAAGACUUCAUCUCCAAAGUGCCGGUUCACACAUUUACUCUUGCUGGAGGUGCAUAUAACCAUGGUCUUCGCGCCAUUGCAGCGAAUUCCCCGGGUGGGACGUUCAGCCGCAUCCCUGUUCCAGACAAGCCAAGUCUAUCGGUGCCCUUCUCGCAAAUUCUAGAUAGCAUCCUUAAUGGCACCAAGCUUUCUCCAGGGAGGUUGCCACUGGACGUGGUGCUUGUGUAUGCAUUUGACUGCACCAUUACCCCAAGCCUGGCCUGGGACAAGAUGGAACAAGAGAUCUUUUGGCUGGUGCAAGAGAAACUCACCCACUUCAAGGAUAGUCGUCUCGGCUACACAUAUGUCAUGUCGACCCCUAACACGUACACGCAUGAUGUGAAACUAGUUGACUCCAAGGAGACAAAGACAACUGGUUACUCCGCAAGCUCAGCUUGGAGAAAGAACCCAUGUACGAAGAACAUGGCGUCUGGCCUCCCCGUGGCACAUAAACUAAUGAGAGACCAUGGGUGCCUGAAUGGCAUCAUCUUGCUCUUCUCCGACGGUUUGGUUAACAAGGGUGACUUCUUUGAUGGAGCUGAGGACUUCGUCUCCAAAGUGUCGGUGCACACGUUUACUCUCGCAGGAGGUGCAUAUAACCAUGGUCUCCAUGCCAUGGCAGCGAAUUCCCCAGGCGGAGUGUUUCACCCUGAACCAGUUCCUAAUAAGCCGAGUGAAUCGGUGUCCUUCUCGCAGCUGCUGGAUAGCAUACUCAUCGCUCCAUGA
rnacentral:rRNA from 1 species